GCGGCAUGCCUCACACAUGCAAGUCGAACGGGGUUUGGUUGAAAGUCUAGCUUUUGACUAAACCUAGUGGCGGACGGGUGAGUAACGCGUGGGCAACCUACCCUACAGACCGGGAUACCAUCGGGAAACUGAUGUUAAUACCGGAUACACUUAGUAUAACGCAUGUUGUAUUAAGGAAAGAUUUUAUCGCUGUAGGAUGGGCCUGCGUUCCAUUAGCUAGUUGGUAGGGUAACGGCCUACCAAGGCGACGAUGGAUAGCUGGUCUGAGAGGACGAUCAGCCACACUGGGACUGAGACACGGCCCAGACUCCUACGGGAGGCAGCAGUGGGGGAUAUUGCGCAAUGGGCGAAAGCCUGACGCGGCAAUGCCGCGUGAAGGAAGAAGGUCUUCGGAUUGUAAACUUCUGUUAAGAGGGAUGAAAAAAUGACAGUACCUCUAGAGGAAGCCCCGGCUAACUACGUGCCAGCAGCCGCGGUAAUACGUAGGGGGCGAGCGUUGUCCGGAAUCACUGGGCGUAAAGCGCGCGUAGGUGGUUAAUUAAGUCAGGUGUUAAAAUGCGGGGCUCAACCCCGUAAUGCACUUGAAACUGGUUAACUUGAGGGCAGGAGAGGAAAGUGGAAUUCCUAGUGUAGCGGUGAAAUGCGUAGAUAUUAGGAGGAACACCAGUGGCGAAGGCGACUUUCUGGCCUGACCCUGACACUGAGGUGCGAAAGCGUGGGGAGCAACAGGAUUAAAUACCUGGUUA
rnacentral:rRNA from 1 species